rnacentral:rRNA from 1 species
CCUAUGGGGUGCAGCAGGCGCGAAAACUUUACCAUGCGGGCAACCGUGAUAAGGAAACCCCGAGUGCCAGCACAGGCUGGCUGUCCGCCAGUUUAAACAACUGGCGAAGAAAGGGCCGGGCAAGACCGGUGCCAGCCGCCGCGGUAAUACCGGCGGCUCGAGUGGUGGCCGCUAUUACUGGGCUUAAAGGGUCCGUAGCUUGAUAAUAGGGUCCCUUGAGAAAUCCGCCGGCUUAACUGGCGGGCGUUCAGGGGAAACUUGUUUUCUAGGGACCGGGAGAGGUGAGGGGUACUGCCGGGGUAGGAGUGAAAUCCUGUAAUCCCGGUGGGACCACCUAUGGCGAAGGCAUCUCACCAGAACGGGUCCGACAGUGAGGGACGAAAGCUGGGGGAGCAAACCGGAUUAGAUACCCCCGUAGUCC